rnacentral:rRNA from 1 species
UACGUAGGGGGCAAGCGUUGUCCGGAAUCAUUGGGCGUAAAGAGCGCGUAGGCGGUCCGGUAAGUCCGCUCUGAAAGUCCGGGGCUCAACCCCGGGAGGCGGGCGGAUACUGUCGGGCUAGAGUCCGGAAGAGGCGAGUGGAAUUCCUGGUGUAGCGGUGAAAUGCGCAGAUAUCAGGAGGAACACCGGUGGCGAAGGCGGGUCUCUGGGCCGAUAUUGACGCUGAAGAGCGAAAGCGUGGGGAGCAAACAGG